rnacentral:rRNA from 1 species
AUUGAACGCUGGCGGCAGGCCUAACACAUGCAAGUCGAGCGGAUGAAGGGAGCUUGCUCCUGGAUUCAGCGGCGGACGGGUGAGUAAUGCCUAGGAAUCUGCCUGGUAGUGGGGGAUAACGUCCCGAAACGGGCGCUAAUACCGCAUACGUCCUGAGGGAGAAAGUGGGGGAUCUUCGGACCUCACGCUAUCAGAUGAGCCUAGGUCGGAUUAGCUAGUUGGUGGGGUAAAGGCCUACCAAGGCGACGAUCCGUAACUGGUCUGAGAGGAUGAUCAGUCACACUGGAACUGAGACACGGUCCAGACUCCUACGGGAGGCAGCAGUGGGGAAUAUUGGACAAUGGGCGAAAGCCUGAUCCAGCCAUGCCGCGUGUGUGAAGAAGGUCUUCGGAUUGUAAAGCACUUUUAGUUGGGAGGAAGGGCAGUAAGUUAAUACCUUGCUGUUUUGACGUUACCAACAGAAUAAGCACCGGCUAACUUCGUG